rnacentral:tRNA from 1 species
GGUGACUCAGUGGUAGAGUGCUUGCCUUGCAUGCAUGAGGCCCUGGGUUUGAUUCUCCAGCACCA